rnacentral:rRNA from 1 species
UACAGAGGUCUCAAGCGUUGUUCGGAUUCAUUGGGCGUAAAGGGUGCGUAGGCGGCCAACUAAGUCGGACGUGAAAUCCCUCAGCUUAACUGGGGAACUGCGUCCGAUACUGGAUGGCUUGGAUUCGGGGAGAGGAAUGCGGAAUUCCAGGUGUAGCGGUGAAAUGCGUAGAUAUCGGGAGGAACACCAGUGGCGAAGGCGAGUCUCUGGGCUGAUACCGACGCUGAGGCGCGAAAGCCAGGGGAGCAAACGGG